rnacentral:rRNA from 1 species
AAAGGCUCCAGCUUGCUGGAGUACUCGAGUGGCGAACGGGUGAGUAACACGUGGGUAAUCUGCCCUGCACUCUGGGAUAAGCCUGGGAAACUGGGUCUAAUACUGGAUAUGACCUUUCUCCUUAUGGGGUUUGGUGGAAAGUUUUUCGGUGUAGGAUGAGCCCGCGGCCUAUCAGCUUGUUGGUGGGGUGAUGGCCUACCAAGGCGACGACGGGUAGCCGGCCUGAGAGGGUGAUCGGCCACAUUGGGACUGAGAUACGGCCCAGACUCCUACGGGAGGCAGCAGUGGGGAAUAUUGCACAAUGGGCGGAAGCCUGAUGCAGCGACGCCGCGUGAGGGAUGACGGCCUUCGGGUUGUAAACCUCUUUCAGCAGGGACGAAGCGUAAGUGACGGUACCUGCAGAAGAAGCACCGGCUAACUAUGUGCCAGCAGCCGCGGUAAUACGUAGGGUGCGAGCGUUGUCCGGAAUUACUGGGCGUAAAGAGCUCGUAGGCGGUUUGUCACGUCGUCUGUGAAAUCCUAGGGCUUAACCCUGGACGUGCAGGCGAUACGGGCUGACUUGAGUACUACAGGGGAGACUGGAAUUUCUGGUGUAGCGGUGGAAUGCACAGAUAUCAGGAAGAACACCGAUGGCGAAGGCAGGUCUCUGGGUA